GUUUUUAAUUCAAAGAAUUCAAAACGGUGUAAAGACAGUUAAUGUAAAGAGUUUAAACAGGUGGGUGGCGGUAAAACCUGUCCAAAAAGGACAUUUUAACCCACCAGAGACAAUAAACGGUUCACAAGGGUGUUUAAAAGAGACCGUCCCGAGAGACGGUUCUUUUAGUUGGAAUUUGUUAAUGAUCCAACCGCAGGUUCACCUACGGUUA
rnacentral:misc_RNA from 1 species